rnacentral:lncRNA from 1 species
AUUAGGCACUACCACAAUACAAUAUGGUGCCUCCACCGUAUCAUCCAGUACCACUAUAGGGCCAUCCGCUCCAUCCCCAGCACAAUUUAGUCCAUCUUCUACAGGACUUAGUUCCUCCCAUGAUGAACCCAUACUACAUUGAGAAGUAUAAAAGACUAAACUUAUCUCCAUUUGCAUGGUGUCCUCAUUUGAAGAGGCUGAGUACUAGUUAGCUAAGAUAGAAAAGGCUUUCACGACUCUUGGAGUGAUUCCCGAACAGAGAGUCAUACUUGCCACCUAUAUGCUGGUGGGAGAGUCAGGGCGCUGGUUGUAACUCAAGUAGGCCACCUUGCCCAUUCCAGUCACUUGGGAAUAGUUCUUGAUUGUCUUUAAUGUAAAGUACCUUCCAGUGCAUCUUCGAUAUCUGAAGAAAAUGGAGUUUGCACACCUAGUCCAUUGUGAUAUGACUGUAUCAAAAUAUACCCGAAAGUUCAUAAAGUUGGAUCAGUAUUCCCCUAAGAGCAUGAUAGAUGAAGGUAGAUAAGCAAGAAAGUUCUAGUGGGGCCUCCAUCAUG